GUCUGACUAAGUUGCUUAGGGCCUCCCUAAAUUACUGAGACUUACCUCAAACUUGUGAUCCUCCUGCCUCAAUAUCCUCUGUUGCUGGGACUGCAGGCAUGUGCCACCACCCUUGGCUCUUUGGUGUAUGUCAUGUCAUUCUUUAAAAAGUUUGGGAGUUUACUUCUAUUUAAGUUUGCUAAUUUUUUUUUUUUUUUAAAUCAGGAAUGGGUAUUGGGGCUGGGGAUAUGGCUCAAGCGGUAGCACGCUCGCCUGGCAUGCGUGCGGCCCGGGUUCGAUCCUCAGCACCACAUACAAAGAUGUUGUGUCUGCCGAAAACUAAAAAUAAAUAUGAAAAAAAUUCUCCCUCUUAAAAAAAAAAAAAAAGAAAAAGGAAUUAAUUAAAAAAAAAAAGGAAUGGGUAUUGGAUUUUAGUAACUGCUAUUUCUGCUUUGUUUUGUUUUGUUUCAAAUAGCUUUAUUGAGGUUGUGGCUCAGAGGGAGAGUGCUUGCCUCACAUGCAUGAGGCACUGGGUUCAAUCCUCAGCACCACAUAAAAAUAAAAUAAAGAUAUUGUGUCCACCUAUAACUAAAAAAAAUGUUUAAAAAAAUCCACUCUGUUUAAGUAUACAAUUCAAAUAUUCUUAGUGAGUAUGCAGAGUUGACUAUCACCAGAACCCAGUUUUAGAAUAUUUCUACCCUCCCAGUACUCUCUUGCACAUUUAAUUUUAGUGUAUUUUGAAAUGAUUUUAUAGCUUUUCUUCUUGAAUUAUUAAUGUAAUAAAUGGCAUUUAUUUUUAUAAUUUUAAACUAUCAUUGCAUUUGUGAAACAAACAUAUAAUUAUAUAUUAAUGAUUAUUAUUUUUAUAAACUCCUGGAUACAGUUUGCAAAUAUUUUGUUGAGAAUUUGGCUUUUGUAUUUAUGCAUAAUAUUCUUAUUCUGUUAUUUUUGUGUGUGGGGAGGUACCAGGGAUUGAAUUCCAGGGCACUGGACCACUAAGCCACAUCCCCAG
rnacentral:lncRNA from 1 species